rnacentral:rRNA from 1 species
UUAAGCGACUAAGCGUACACGGUGGAUGCCCUGGCAGUCAGAGGCGAUGAAGGACGUGCUAAUCUGCGAAAAGCGUCGGUAAGGUGAUAUGAACCGUUANNNNNNNNNNNCACUAUCGUUAACUGAAUACAUAGGUUAACGAGGCGAACCGGGGGAACUGAAACAUCUAAGUACCCCGAGGAAAAGAAAUCAACCGAGAUUCCCCCAGUAGCGGCGAGCGAACGGGGAGCAGCCCAGAGUCUGAAUCAGCUUGUGUGUUAGUGGAACGGUCUGGAAAGUCCGACGGUACAGGGUGAUAGUCCCGUACACCAAAAUGCACAGGCUGUGAACUCGAAGAGUAGGGCGGGACACGUGGUAUCCUGUCUGAAUAUGGGGGGACCAUCCUCCAAGGCUAAAUACUCCUGACUGACCGAUAGUGAACCAGUACCGUGAGGGAAAGGCGAAAAGAACCCCGGCGAGGGGAGUGAAAAAGAACCUGAAACCGUGUACGUACAAGCAGUGGGAGCACCUUCGGGUGUGACUGCGUACCUUUUGUAUAAUGGGUCAGCGACUUAUAUUCUGUAGCAAGGUUAACCGUAUAGGGGAGCCGCAGGGAAACCGAGUCUUAACUGGGCGUUAAGUUGCAGGGUAUAGACCCGAAACCCGGUGAUCUAGCCAUGGGCAGGUUGAAGGUUGGGUAACACUAACUGGAGGACCGAACCGACUAAUGUUGAAAAAUUAGCGGAUGACUUGUGGCUGGGGGUGAAAGGCCAAUCAAACCGGGAGAUAGCUGGUUCUCCCCGAAAGCUAUUUAGGUAGCGCCUCGUGAAUUCAUCUUCGGGGGUAGAGCACUGUUUCGGCUAGGGGGUCAUCCCGACUUACCAACCCGAUGCAAACUACGAAUACCGAAGAAUGUUAUCACGGGAGACACACGGCGGGUGCUAACGUCCGUCGUGAAGAGGGAAACAACCCAGACCGCCAGCUAAGGUCCCAAAGUCAUGGUUAAGUGGGAAACGAUGUGGGAAGGCACAGACAGCCAGGAUGUUGGCUUAGAAGCAGCCAUCAUUUAAAGAAAGCGUAAUAGCUCACUGGUCGAGUCGGCCUGCGCGGAAGAUGUAACGGGGCUAAACCAUGCACCGAAGCUGCGGCAGCGACACUAUGUGUUGUUGGGUAGGGGAGCGUUCUGUAAGCCUGCGAAGGUGACCUGUGAGGGUUGCUGGAGGUAUCAGAAGUGCGAAUGCUGACAUAAGUAACGAUAAAGCGGGUGAAAAGCCCGCUCGCCGGAAGACCAAGGGUUCCUGUCCAACGUUAAUCGGGGCAGGGUGAGUCGACCCCUAAGGCGAGGCCGAAAGGCGUAGUCGAUGGGAAACAGGUUAAUAUUCCUGUACUUGGUGUUACUGCGAAGGGGGGACGGAGAAGGCUAUGUUAGCCGGGCGACGGUUGUCCCGGUUUAAGCAUGUAGGCUGGUUGUCCAGGCAAAUCCGGAUAAUCAAGGCUGAGGUGUGAUGACGAGGCACUACGGUGCUGAAGUAACAAAUGCCCUGCUUCCAGGAAAAGCCUCUAAGCAUCAGGUAACAUUAAAUCGUACCCCAAACCGACACAGGUGGUCAGGUAGAGAAUACCAAGGCGCUUGAGAGAACUCGGGUGAAGGAACUAGGCAAAAUGGUGCCGUAACUUCGGGAGAAGGCACGCUGGUGUGUAGGUGAAGUCCCUGCGGAUGGAGCUGAGACCAGUCGAAGAUACCAGCUGGCUGCAACUGUUUAUUAAAAACACAGCACUGUGCAAACACGAAAGUGGACGUAUACGGUGUGACGCCUGCCCGGUGCCGGAAGGUUAAUUGAUGGGGUUAUCCGUAAGGAGAAGCUCUUGAUCGAAGCCCCGGUAAACGGCGGCCGUAACUAUAACGGUCCUAAGGUAGCGAAAUUCCUUGUCGGGUAAGUUCCGACCUGCACGAAUGGCGUAAUGAUGGCCAGGCUGUCUCCACCCGAGACUCAGUGAAAUUGAACUCGCUGUGAAGAUGCAGUGUACCCGCGGCAAGACGGAAAGACCCCGUGAACCUUUACUAUAGCUUGACACUGAACAUUGAGCCUUGAUGUGUAGGAUAGGUGGGAGGCUUUGAAGCGUGGACGCCAGUCUGCGUGGAGCCAACCUUGAAAUACCACCCUUUAAUGUUUGAUGUUCUAACGUUGGCCCCUUACCGGGGUUGCGGACAGUGUCUGGUGGGUAGUUUGACUGGGGCGGUCUCCUCCCAAAGCGUAACGGAGGAGCACGAAGGUUAGCUAAUCCUGGUCGGACAUCAGGAGGUUAGUGCAAUGGCAUAAGCUAGCUUGACUGCGAGCGUGACGGCGCGAGCAGGUGCGAAAGCAGGUCAUAGUGAUCCGGUGGUUCUGAAUGGAAGGGCCAUCGCUCAACGGAUAAAAGGUACUCCGGGGAUAACAGGCUGAUACCGCCCAAGAGUUCAUAUCGACGGCGGUGUUUGGCACCUCGAUGUCGGCUCAUCACAUCCUGGGGCUGAAGUAGGUCCCAAGGGUAUGGCUGUUCGCCAUUUAAAGUGGUACGCGAGCUGGGUUUAGAACGUCGUGAGACAGUUCGGUCCCUAUCUGCCGUGGGCGCUGGAGAAUUGAGGGGGGCUGCUCCUAGUACGAGAGGACCGGAGUGGACGCAUCACUGGUGUUCGGGUUGUCAUGCCAAUGGCACUGCCCGGUAGCUAAAUGCGGAAGAGAUAAGUGCUGAAAGCAUCUAAGCACGAAACUUGCCCCGAGAUGAGUUCUCCCUGAGACUUUAAGUCUCCUGAAGGAACGUUAAAGACGAUGACGUUGAUAGGCCGGGUGUGUAAGCGCAGCGAUGCGUUGAGCUAACCGGUACUAAUGAACCGUGAGGCUUAACCUU